AUUGAACGCUGGCGGCAUGCCUUACACAUGCAAGUCGAACGGUAACAGGUCUUCGGAUGCUGACGAGUGGCGAACGGGUGAGUAAUACAUCGGAACGUGCCUAGUAGUGGGGGAUAACUACUCGAAAGAGUGGCUAAUACCGCAUGAGAUCUACGGAUGAAAGCAGGGGAUCGCAAGACCCUGUGCUACUAGAGCGGCCGAUGGCAGAUUAGGUAGUUGGUGGGAUAAAAGCUUACCAAGCCGACGAUCUGUAGCUGGUCUGAGAGGACGAUCAGGCACACUGGAACUAAGGCACGGCCCAGACUCCUACGGGAGGCAGCAGUGGGGAAUUUUGGACAAUGUGCGAAAGCCUGAUCCAGCAAUGCCGCGUGCAGGAUGAAGGCCUUCGGGUUGUAAACUGCUUUUGUACGGAACGAAAAGCCCCGGGUUAAUACCCUGGGGUCAUGACGGUACCGUAAGAAUAAGCACCGGCUAACUACGUGCCAGCCGCCGCCGUAA
rnacentral:rRNA from 1 species